CCCUGUGCGCGCGUGUGGGCGGGCGUGUGUCUGUGCCGUGGCCGCCGCCGCCGCCGCCUGUCGCUGAGGCUGGCAUCGCCGAGCCCCCGCGCGGGGGGCUGCCGCCCGAGCGCUGAUUGACAGGCCGCCUCGCCAAUGCCUGGAGGGAGAAAGGAGCAUUCCACCUGUCCUGUGAUGACACAGCGAAAAGGCUCUCUCUCAGACGCGGCCCCUCAGUCUUGGAUUUCCCAGUUUCUAGAACCUGUCCCUAUGGCCACCAGCAGUCCUCAACCACGUGGAAAGAAUAUUUCUUUCCCACCUGUUCUAGUACCAGAAUUCACCACCAGUGUAUAACUGGGUAUUAAUAAUGGAUUAGUUUG